CUUGAGGGAGCCCAGCCACAGCGGCCGGUCCGCGGGGCGGUCCUGGCCGUAGGUGGCGAGCAGGGCCUGUGCCUC
rnacentral:antisense_RNA from 1 species